UACGGGGGGGGGCAAGCGUUGUUCGGAAUUACUGGGCGUAAAGGGCUCGUAGGCGGCCAACUAAGUCGGACGUGAAAUCCCUCGGCUUAACCGGGGAACUGCGUCCGAUACUGGAUGGCUGGAGGUUGGGAGAGGGAUGCGGAAUUCCAGGUGUAGCGGUGAAAUGCGCAGAUAUCAGGAGGAACACCGAUGGCGAAGGCAGGUCUCUGGGCCAUAACUGACGCUGAGAAGCGAAAGCAUGGGGAGCGAACAGG
rnacentral:rRNA from 1 species